AUGAACGCUGGCGGCGUGCCUAAUACAUGCAAGUCGAACGAAACUUCUUUAUCACCGAGUGCUUGCACUCACCGAUAAAGAGUUGAGUGGCGAACGGGUGAGUAACACGUGGGCAACCUGCCCAAAAGAGGGGGAUAACACUUGGAAACAGGUGCUAAUACCGCAUAACCAUAGUUACCGCAUGGUAACUAUGUAAAAGGUGGCUAUACUACCGCUUUUGGAUGGGCCCGCGGCGCAUUAGCUAGUUGGUAGGGUAAAGGCUUACCAAGGCAAUGAUGCGUAGCCGAAUUGAGAGGUUGAUCGACCACAUUGGGACUGAGACACGGCCCAAACUCCUACGGGAGGCAGCAGUAGGGAAUCUUCCACAAUGGGCGAAAGCCUGAUGGAGCAACGCCGCGUGGGUGAAGAAGGUCUUCGGAUCGUAAAACCCUGUUGUUAGAGAAGAAAGUGCGUGAGAGUAACUGUUCACGUUUCGACGGUAUCUAACCGGAAAGCCACGGCUAACUACGUG
rnacentral:rRNA from 1 species